GACGGAGGAUGCAAGCGUUAUCCGGAAUGAUUGGGCGUAAAGCGUCCGCAGGUGGCCGUUCAAGUCUGCUGUCAAAGACCGGGGCUUAACUUCGGAAAGGCAGUGGAAACUGAACAGCUAGAGUAUGGUAGGGGCAGAGGGAAUUCCUGGUGUAGCGGUGAAAUGCGUAGAUAUCGGGAAGAACAUCGGUGGCGAAAGCGCUCUACUGGACCGCAACUGACACUCAGGGACGAAAGCUAGGGGAGCGAAUGGG
rnacentral:rRNA from 1 species